UCCCUGGUGGUUCAGUGGUUAAGACUCUGCACUUUUGCUGCUGAGGGCCCAGGUUCGAUCCCUGGUCGGGGAA